AAUAGAACACAGCCAGGAACUCUUCUGCGCGAGUCAGCGUGACGUGCGUGCGCGGGCUUAUCAUUUGAAUUAAAUAACGGACACAAGCAACGGGCGGAACGGUAAUCAAAGUUUCGGUGGAAUCUCCGAUUGAAAACAUCAUCGUGUGCGCUUAGACUUCUGUUCCAGUUCUGACUAUACCACACUCUGCUUAUGUGGAUCACUGACUACUAUGUUCUCUGAAGUGGGGGAAACCGGAGCACCUGGAGGAUACCCACGCAAACUCCACACAGAGACGCCAACUGACCCAGUCAAGGCUCGAACCAACGACUUUCUUGCUGUGAGGCGCCACUGCAGCGCAGAAUCUGAAGCAGGUGCAGCCAAACUGCGACACAACAACCACAGAAUUUACAGGGCCGUGAGAGAUCACCUGUACGGUCUGGCGUUGGCAGACGCAGAGCUGAAAACACUAAUCUGCUUUUGUUGUUGUUAAUGUUAAAUUGACCAAUACAUGUUUUGUCAUUACUUUUGUCUGCAAACAUUAGGCUAAUAAAUAAUAUUUUUUAAACAAAAUGUUGAA
ensembl:processed_transcript